rnacentral:rRNA from 1 species
AGAACCUUACCAGCCCUUGACAUGUCUAUGACCGGUACCAGAGAUGGAACCUUCCCUUCGGGCAUAGAGCACAGGUGCUGCAUGGCUGUCGUCAGCUCGUGUCGUGAGAUGUUGGGUUAAGUCCCGCAACGAGCGCAACCCCCGUCCUUAGUUGCUACCAUUUAGUUGAGCACUCUAAGGAGACUGCCGGUGAUAAGCCGCGAGGAAGGUGGGGAUGACGUCAAGUCCUCAUGGCCCUUACGGGCUGGGCUACACACGUGCUACAAUGGCGGUGACAAUGGGACGCUAAGGAGCAAUCCUUCGCAAAUCUCAAAAAGCCGUCUCAGUUCGGAUUGGACUCUGCAACUCGAGUCCAUGAAGUUGGAAUCGCUAGUAAU